rnacentral:tRNA from 1 species
GAGCCAUUAGCUCAGGGGUAGAGCAUCGGACUUUUAAUCCGAGUGUCGCAGGUUCGAUUCCUGUAUGGCUCA